rnacentral:rRNA from 1 species
GAUGAACGCUGGCGGCGUGCCUAAUACAUGCAAGUCGAGCGAACAGACGAGGAGCUUGCUCCUCUGACGUUAGCGGCGGACGGGUGAGUAACACGUGGAUAACCUACCUAUAAGACUGGGAUAACUUCGGGAAACCGGAGCUAAUACCGGAUAAUAUAUUGAACCGCAUGGUUCAAUAGUGAAAGACGGUUUUGCUGUCACUUAUAGAUGGAUCCGCGCCGCAUUAGCUAGUUGGUAAAGUAACAGCUUACCAAGGCAACGAUGCGUAGCCGACCUGAGAGGGUGAUCGGCCACACUGGAACUGAGACACGGUCCAGACUCCUACGGGAGGCAGCAGUAGGGAAUCUUCCGCAAUGGGCGAAAGCCUGACGGAGCAACGCCGCGUGAGUGAUGAAGGUCUUCGGAUCGUAAAACUCUGUUAUUAGGGAAGAACAAAUGUGUAAGUAACUAUGCACGUCUUGACGGUACCUAAUCAGAAAGCCACGGCUAACUACGUG